rnacentral:misc_RNA from 1 species
GGUCAAAGAUAUAUUCAAUAUUACACACGAGUCAUUCCAAUCAGACACUUCCAUGGAAAGAAAGUAGCAAGAAUCCUUUUGAACAUUUACACUACUCAGUCUAGCACGAAAAUCAAAAUGUAAUAAAAUUGAAGAAUUAAAAUUAUAUUGUUCAACUUAAUAAUGGGUGCAGCAAUUGGAACUCUGUAAUACAUAUAAAGACAUAUACUGACUGCAUAAUUUCCAAGAUGAUCAAUUAUUAUAAGAAAUUCUUUAAAAUUCAUGCAAAAAUAAAAUUGAAAUGGUGGUAAUGAGGCCAUUAGAAACAGGAAGGUCUAAUAUUAUGGCAGAAUGUGUUUCUCAAAGGAACAGCUCCAAAAUGCUGGUUUUAAACAAGGGUACCGGUACACCAAACUUGAGCACUACAAUUAUUUCAAUUAUCUUAAAAACCAAUAAAUACACUCCACAAAUUGAACUUUUAAAUAUUUUUCACUGCCUAUUGUUCUCAGGGUUGCAGUCCAACGCAAAAAUUCUUUCCACUAGUCUUUGACCACACUGCAAUAUCUCAAUGAAGACGACCAAAUUACCAAGGAAUAGAUGACAUUUAUUGUUUUAACUGCUAAAUGUGACACACAAGUCAUUUCUUCCUUUUAGCACAAAAUACUGCUCAGACACACCAUCUAUGUACACUGUCAUGGUAAAGAAUAUAUAUUUCUUCCCCUUUUGUCUCUCAGGAUGGUAAUCCAGCAUUUGGCUCCACAGUUUAUCUUCAACCAUUUGGCAUAUCAAAAGAUGAUGAAUAAUUGAUUCAAGGUUGUCAAAAUCAAGCUGAAAACCCCAUAAAAACAAUUAACCUAACUAUUCCCACCUAGUAGCCAGUAGUCAACUUUAAUAGAUGAUUCCAUGAAAGCAAUUGAAAUACUCAAUUUAGAUCCUACACAAUUCCUAUCAGAUAACCAAGAUUCCAAGAAUUUCCUUAUUUCCAAUAAAUUUCCAACUACUUGCUGAACUUAAACUUAUAACUCGCUCGCUCUUUGGGAAUAAUUUGUAACAGAAAGUAUGAAAUAAUAACCCAAAUUUAAACUCAAAUUAGACUAAUUUCAGUAGCAUUGAAAAUUUAACUCCCAAUUUCCUCUCUCUUUCCACAAGUUCCCACCAACCAGACAGAACAGAUAAAGCCCAAAAAGCAGCAAUUGAGAAUCAAGAAUAUAUAGGACACUCAAAUUAAAUAAAAAAAUCCCACGCAUGACGUUUAUUAUGAUUAGUAUUGGCCUUCAAGUGCAAUUCAUAAACUUUCCUUUCUAAACAAUAACAACCACUUAGAAAAAAUAUCAAAAUUUUCUCGGCAUCCGAACGGAGAUAAAAAAAUGUAAUCAACGCUCAUAUUAAAUCAAGAAUCCCAUGCACGACCUUUAUUAUGAUUAGUACUGGUCUUCAAGCGCAAUUCAUAAACUUCCCUCUCCCAAACAACAACAAUCGCUUAAAAUAAUAUCAAAUUUUCUCGGCAUCCAAACAGAGACAAAAACAACAGAAGAACAAGGGACAUUACCUUCGCA